rnacentral:pre_miRNA from 1 species
GUCAUUUUUGUGAUCUGCAGCUAGUGUUCUCUCUCCAGUUGCAUAGUCACAAAAGUGAUC